UACAGAGGUCUCAAGCGUUGUUCGGAUUCAUUGGGCGUAAAGGGUGCGUAGGCGGCGCGGUAAGUCGGGUGUGAAAUCUUGGAGCUUAACUCCGAAACUGCAUUCGAUACUGCCGUGCUUGAGGACUGGAGAGGAGACUGGAAUUUACGGUGUAGCGGUGAAAUGCGUAGAUAUCGAGAGGAACACCAGUGGCGAAGGCGAGUCCCUGGACAACUCCUGACACUGAGGCACGAAAAGCUAGGGGGAGCAAAACAGG
rnacentral:rRNA from 1 species